rnacentral:rRNA from 1 species
GUGGGGAAUAUUGGACAAUGGGCGCAAGCCUGAUCCAGCCAUGCCGCGUGAGUGAUGAAGGCCUUAGGGUUGUAAAGCUCUUUUGUCCGGGACGAUAAUGACGGUACCGGAAGAAUAAGCCCCGGCUAACUUCGUGCCAGCAGCCGCGGUAAUACGAAGGGGGCUAGCGUUGCUCGGAAUCACUGGGCGUAAAGGGCGCGUAGGCGGCCGAUUAAGUCGGGGGUGAAAGCCUGUGGCUCAACCACAGAAUUGCCUUCGAUACUGGUUGGCUUGAGACCGGAAGAGGACAGCGGAACUGCGAGUGUAGAGGUGAAAUUCGUAGAUAUUCGCAAGAACACCAGUGGCGAAGGCGGCUGUCUGGUCCGGUUCUGACGCUGAGGCGCGAAAGCGUGGGGAGCAAACAGGG